rnacentral:rRNA from 1 species
GAUUAAGUUAUUAAGGGCGCACGGUGGAUGCCUUGGCACUAGAAGCCGAUGAAGGACGUUACUAACGACGAUAUGCUUUGGGUAGCUGUAAGUAAGCGUUGAUCCAGAGAUUUCCGAAUGGGGAAACCCAGCACAAGUUAUGUUGUGUUAUCGACAAGUGAAUUCAUAGCUUGUCAGAAGGCAGACCCGGAGAACUGAAACAUCUUAGUACCCGGAGGAAGAGAAAGAAAAUUCGAUUCCCUGAGUAGCGGCGAGCGAAACGGGAAGAGCCCAAACCAAUAAGCUUGCUUAUUGGGGUUGUAGGACACUCUAUACGGAGUUACAAAGGAAUAUAUUAAACGAAUCAUCUGGAAAGUUGAAUCAAAGAAGGUAAUAAUCCUGUAGUUGAAAAUAUAUUCUCUCUUGAGUGGAUCCUGAGUACGACGGAGCACGUGAAAUUCCGUCGGAAUCUGGGAGGACCAUCUCCUAAGGCUAAAUACUCUCUAGUGACCGAUAGUGAACCAGUACCGUGAGGGAAAGGUGAAAAGUACCCCGGAAGGGGAGUGAAAGAGAACUUGAAACCGUGUGCUUACAAGUAGUCAGAGCCCGUUAAUGGGUGAUGGCGUGCCUUUUGUAGAAUGAACCGGCGAGUUACGAUCUGAUGCAAGGUUAAGCAGAAAAUGUGGAGCCGUAGCGAAAGCGAGUCUGAAUAGGGCGUGUAGUAUUUGGUCGUAGACCCGAAACCAGGUGAUCUACCCAUGGUCAGGUUGAAGUUCAGGUAACACUGAAUGGAGGACCGAACCGACUUACGUUGAAAAGUGAGCGGAUGAACUGUGGGUAGCGGAGAAAUUCCAAUCGAACUUGGAGAUAGCUGGUUCUCUCCGAAAUAGCUUUAGGGCUAGCCUCAAGUGAUGAUUAUUGGAGGUAGAGCACUGUUUGGACGAGGGGCCCCUCUCGGGUUACCGAAUUCAGACAAACUCCGAAUGCCAAUUAAUUUAACUUGGGAGUCAGAACAUGGGUGAUAAGGUCCGUGUUCGAAAGGGAAACAGCCCAGACCACCAGCUAAGGUCCCAAAAUAUAUGUUAAGUGGAAAAGGAUGUGGCGUUGCCCAGACAACUAGGAUGUUGGCUUAGAAGCAGCCAUCAUUUAAAGAGUGCGUAAUAGCUCACUAGUCGAGUGACACUGCGCCGAAAAUGUACCGGGGCUAAACAUAUUACCGAAGCUGUGGAUUGUCCUUUGGACAAUGGUAGGAGAGCGUUCUAAGGGCGUUGAAGCAUGAU